AUACGGAGGAUGCAAGCGUUAUCCGGAUUCAUUGGGUUUAAAGGGUGCGCAGGUGGGCUUGUAAGUCAGUGGUGAAAUGCUGCCGCUUAACGGUAGAAUUGCCAUUGAUACUGAUAAGCUUGAGUACAAUUGAGGUAAGCGGAAUGUGUAGUGUAGCGGUGAAAUGCUUAGAUAUUACACAGAACACCGAUUGCGAAGGCAGCUUACUAAACUGUCACUGACGCUGAUGCACGAAAGCGUGGGGAGC
rnacentral:rRNA from 1 species